rnacentral:rRNA from 1 species
UACGUAGGGGGCAAGCGUUGUCCGGAAUCAUUGGGCGUAAAGAGCGUGUAGGCGGCUCGAUAAGUCUGCUGUGAAAGUCCAGGGCUCAACCCUGGAAGGCCGGUGGAAACUGUCGGGCUAGAGUCCGGAAGAGGCGAGUGGAAUUCCCGGUGUAGCGGUGAAAUGCGCAGAUAUCGGGAGGAACACCAAUGGCGAAGGCGGCUCACUGGACCGGUACUGACGCUGAGGCGCGAAAGCGUGGGGAGCAAACAGG